UACAGAGGGCUCAAGCGUUGUUCGGAUUCAUUGGGCGUAAAGGGCGCGUAGGCGGAGGGGUAAGUCGGGUGUGAAAUCUCAGAGCUCAACUCUGAAAUGGCACUUGAUACUGCUCUGCUAGAGGACUGGAGAGGAGAUUGGAAUUCACGGUGUAGCAGUGAAAUGCGUAGAUAUCGUGAGGAAGACCGGUGGCGAAGGCGGAUCUCUGGACAGUUCCUGACGCUGAGGCGCGAAGGCCAGGGGAGCAAACGGG
rnacentral:rRNA from 1 species